GCUGACUCUCUUUUCAGACUCAGCCCACUUGCACCCAAGUGAAUUAACAGCCUUGUUGCUCACACAAAGCCUGUUUAGGUGGUCUUCUAUACGGACAUGCUUGACACUUGGUGCCAAAAUCUGGGCCAGGGGGACUCCUUCGUGAGACCGGCCCCCUGUCCUGGCCCUCAUUCCGUGAAGAGAUCCACCUGCGACCUCGGGUCCUCAGACCAGCCCAAGGAACAUCUCACCAAUUUCAAAUCGGGGUCCCUGGAGCUCUGGCUCAAAGCUCUCUGGCUGACUCCUUCCCAGAUCUCCUCGGCUUAGUGGCUGAAGACUGAUGCUGCCCGAUCGCCUCAGAAGCCCCUUGGACCAUCACAGAUGCCGAGCUUCGGGUAACUCUUACGGUGGAGGAUUCCCAGCCAUAUGAAGACACCCUAGCUGGACGAUCAGUCCUUGUCAAAAGUCUGACCCCUCAAACUCUACAGCCUCAAUGGACCAGACCCUACCCGGUCAUUUAUAGCACACCAACUGCCGUCCAUCUGCAGGACCCUCUCCAUUGGGUUCACCAUUCCAGAAUAAAGCCAUGCCCAUCAGACAGCCAGCUUGAUCUCUCCUCUUCCUCCUGGAAGCCACAAGAUUAGGCCGAGAGCCGAUCAGACAAACAACCUACAACCCUUAAGCUCCUGGCAGCGCCCAGCCAAGGCCAUGCUUCCUUGCAACACUCCUUCCAAAUGGCCAUCCCAGCAUGCUUCCAAGCAGGCUUCAUCCGUUCCUCUGGACCCUCAUCUCUUAAGACCUGCCGCCUAUAAAAAGGAUUAUAUCUUGAGACCCUAUCCUCUAAAAUUUUUUCCACACCCAAAACAAAAAAUCUCUGGGUCAAAAGUCUAAAACGCUUAGGCUGGCAACCAUCAGAUCCUUGCCCAUGGUGUCCUCAAGCCUACUCUCAUGAAAUGGACAACAGUACACGCAUAUGGGGCCAGUUCCACAUAUUUGGCAACCAGACCAGCAUCCAGGACAACACAAAGAUCUGCAAUCAGAACUAUUGAACUUCUCCAUUCAGACCGCCACUCACACCUAUGGGAAAAGGGUAAUGUAUCAUCGGCUUAGCAACAGGGAAUACUAUUCGUAUGAUGGAAAAUGGGGACAAAAGGCUUUGGUACAUAAAACAUUAUUCCUUCCUUGGCCUAAAAACUCAUCGCCACCUACAUUAAAGCUAAUAUGCCUGA
rnacentral:lncRNA from 1 species